CCUACGGGAGGCAGCAGUGGGGAAUAUUGCACAAUGGGGGAAACCCUGAUGCAGCAACGCCGCGUGAGUGAGGAAGUAUUUCGGUAUGUAAAGCUCUAUCAGCAGGGAGUAGAAAAGAAGGUACCUGAAAAAAAAGCCCCGGCUAACUACGUGCCAGCAGCCGCGGUAAUACGGAGGGGGCAAGCGUUAUCCGGAUUUACUGGGUGUAAGGGGAGCGUUGACGUAAAGGCAAGUCAGGAGUGAAAGCCCAAGGACCAACCAGGGGACUGCUUUUGAAACGGUCAAACUAGAGUACGGGAGAGGUAAGAGGAAUGCGUAGUGUAGCGGUGAAAUGCGUAGAUAUUAGGAGGAACACCAGUGGCGAAGGCGUCUUACUGGACCGAAACUGACGUUGAGGCUCGAAAGCGUGGGGAGCAAACAGGAUUAGAUACCCUUGUAGUC
rnacentral:rRNA from 1 species